rnacentral:rRNA from 1 species
UACAGAGGUCUCAAGCGUUGUUCGGAUUCAUUGGGCGUAAAGGGUGUGUAGGUGGCGCGCUAAGUCGGGUGUGAAAUUUCGGAGCUUAACUCCGAAACUGCAUUCGAUACUGCCGUGCUUGAGGACUGGAGAGGAGACUGGAAUUUACGGUGUAGCGGUGAAAUGCGUAGAUAUCGUAAGGAAGACCAGUGGCGAAGGCGGGUCUCUGGACAGUUCCUGACGCUGAGGCACGAAGGUCAGGGGAGCAAACGGG